rnacentral:rRNA from 1 species
UACACACGGAUAACAUACCGAAAGGUAUGCUAAUACGGGAUAAUAUAUUUGAGAGGCAUCUCUUAAAUAUCAAAGGUGAGCCAGUACAGGAUGGACCCGCGUCUGAUUAGCUAGUUGGUAAGGUAACGGCUUACCAAGGCGACGAUCAGUAGCCGACCUGAGAGGGUGAUCGGCCACAUUGGAACUGAGACACGGUCCAAACUCCUACGGGAGGCAGCAGUGGGGAAUAUUGCACAAUGGGCGAAAGCCUGAUGCAGCAACGCCGCGUGAGUGAUGAAGGCCUUCGGGUCGUAAAACUCUGUCCUCAAGGAAGAUAAUGACGGUACUUGAGGAGGAAGCCCCGGCUAACUACGUGCCAGCAGCCGCGGUAAUACGUAGGGGGCUAGCGUUAUCCGGAUUUACUGGGCGUAAAGGGUGCGUAGGCGGUCUUUCAAGUCAGGAGUGAAAGGCUACGGCUCAACCGUAGUAAGCUCUUGAAACUGGGAGACUUGAGUGCAGGAGAGGAGAGUGGAAUUCCUAGUGUAGCGGUGAAAUGCGUAGAUAUUAGGAGGAACACCAGUUGCGAAGGCGGCUCUCUGGACUGUAACUGACGCUGAGGCACGAAAGCGUGGGGAGCAAACAGGAUUAGAUACCCUGGUAGUCCACGCUGUAAACGAUGAGUGCUAGGUGUCGGGGGUUACCCCCUUCGGUGCCGCAG